rnacentral:rRNA from 1 species
CUGGCGACCGGCGCACGGGUGAGUAACACGUAUCCAACCUGCCGAUAACUCGGGGAUAGCCUUUCGAGAGAAAGAUUAAUACCCGAUGGCAUAAUUAGACCGCAUGGUCUUAUUAUUAAAGAAUUUCGGUUAUCGAUGGGGAUGCGUUCCAUUAGGCAGUUGGUGAGGUAACGGCUCACCAAACCUUCGAUGGAUAGGGGUUCUGAGAGGAAGGUCCCCCACAUUGGAACUGAGACACGGUCCAA